CUGAAGAGGUAAAAUGGGAACUGGGAUUGAUCUAUUUUUAGACUGGGAAAAUGGGAUUUGGGUUGCUGGGACUGGGAUUUGGCCACUGCGAAUGGGAAAUGAAGUCCUCAAAAAUGGGAAUGGGAUUGAGGUAAUGCGAGUCGAUUCCCAAUUUUUCUACGUUUUAAGUAUUUUAAAAAACAAUUUUUAUCCGUUUUUGGUGUCUUUGGUCAUGAUUUUUGUUGUUAACUAUAUUAUUCACAGCACUACCUGAGAACAGGCAUACUCUGGCGCCCGAAAUUCUGGGUUUUCUGAUUAUGCAUGUCUCAGAAUGCUGCAAAU